AAUCAACGCUGGCGGCGUGCCUCAGACAUGCAAGUCGAACGAUUAAAGCUCUCUUCGGAGAGUGUAUAGAGUGGCGCACGGGUGAGUAACACGUAAGUAAUCUACCCUCGAGUGGGGAAUAACGUCCGGAAACGGACGCUAAUACCGCAUAAUGCAGCGGCACCGCAAGGUGACAGUUGUUAAAGGAGAAAUUCGCUUGAGGAGGAGCUUGCGGCAGAUUAGCUUGUUGGUAAGGUAACGGCUUACCAAGGCUACGAUCUGUAACCGGUCUUAGAGGACGGUCGGUCACACUGACACUGAAUAACGGGUCAGACUCCUACGGGAGGCAGCAGUCGGAAUUUUGGGCAAUGGGCGAAAGCCUGACCCAGCAACGCCGCGUGAAGGAUGAAGUAUUUCGGUAUGUAAACUUCGAAAGAAUAGGAAGAAUAAAUGACGGUACUAUUUAUAAGGUCCGGCUAACUACGUGCCAGCAGCCGCCGCUGUAAC
rnacentral:rRNA from 1 species